GAAUCUUAGACAAUGGGGGAAACCCUGAUCUAGCAAUGCCGCGUGAUCGAUGAAGGCCUUAGGGUUGUAAAGAUCUUUCAGCUGGGAAGAUAAUGACGGUACCAGCAGAUGAAGCCCCGGCUAACUCCGUGCCAGCAGCCGCGGUAAUCCGGCGGGGGCUAGCGUUAUUCGGAUUUACUGGGCGUAAUGCGAACGUAGGAGGAGUAGAAAGUUAGGGGUGAAAUCCCGGGGCUCAACCUCGGAACUGCCUCUAAAACUCCUGGUCUUGAGGUCGAGAGAGGUGAGUGGAAUUCCGAGUGUAGAGGUGAAAUUCGGAGAUAUUCGGAGGAACACCAGUGGCGAAGGCGGCUCACUGGCUCGAUACUGACGCUGAGGUGCGAAAGCGUGGGGAGCAAACA
rnacentral:rRNA from 1 species